AGUGAAUAGAUACCCUGGUAGUCCACGCUGUAAACGAUGAGUGCUAGUUGUCGGCAUGCAUGCAUGUCGGUGACGCAGCUAACGCAUUAAGCACUCCGCCUGGGGAGUACGGUCGCAAGAUUAAAACUCAAAGGAAUUGACGGGGCCGCACAAAGCGGUGGAGCAUGUGGUUUAAUUCGAAGCAACGCGCAGAACCUUACCACCUUUUGACAUGCCUGGAUCGCUGCAGAGAUGCAGUUUUCCCUUCGGGGACCGAGGACACAGGUGCUGCAUGGCUGUCGUCAGCUCGUGUCGUGAGACGUUGGGUUAAGUCCCGCAACGAGCGCAACCCACGCCUUUAGUUGCCAUCAUUCAGUUGGGCACUCUAAAGGGACCGCCGGUGGUAAGCCGGAGGAAGGUGUGGAUGACGUCAAGUCCUCAUGGCCCUUACAGGGUGGGCUACACACGUGCUACAAUGGCGACUACAGAGGGUUGCAAGCCAGCGAUGGUGAGCCAAU
rnacentral:rRNA from 1 species